AUUCAUCUGCUGUGUGCGUAAUGAUCAAAAGAAAUUUUGACCAACAUCAAUACACAGGGAGCCUGGUCUCUACCUGCGGCGUAUAGGCCUUCUUAAUUGAGAGGACAUAUAAACCAGGUAGGAGGGCACCCACUUGGCAGACAGGGAUCAAAAUUAAAUGAUCAUACGGCACAGUGGAUGACUU
rnacentral:other from 2 species